AUGAGGGAGUCCUGCUUUCAAGAUGGAGCCUGUUCUGUCCGUUUCCUCCUUCACCAGCACCCCUGUAAGCACGGGUCCCCAUUUCCAGGACAUUUCAGUGUUGCUGCCGAUACCUUCAGGAGCAGCUCACAGUGCAGCCACAGAGGGUAUCUGGGCGCAGGCUGCAACUCAUGCAAGCUCAUGCUUCCGCGACCAUCUCUGCAGGGAAAAUGCACAGCAGUGGCAGGGGGAGUCUCCCAGAGGCUCAGCAAACCUAGGAAAGUUUGGGAGCCACAAUCAGCUUCUUGCAGAUCUGUUAGGUCAAAGAAAAAAGCCCUCCAGGUGCUUUUCAUUUUGCAUUUCUCUAAGGAGGGAAAUUUGCAUAUCCUUUGCAGGAAUCUUCUCCAGUGGUUUCCUUAUUGGUAUUUCCUUAUUGGUAUUGGUGGUUUCCUGGUCGGUGUUUCUUAUUUAUCUGUAGGAACUCUUUAUUGUUAGUAAUCUCAGGAAGCUCUCCUUGUGAUGCAAGUCCAAGAGUCCUCCAGUUUGAGGCUUCCUUUUUUGAGUUUGUUGCAGUUUUGCGCUUAGCUGAAUUUCUCAGUCUUGCCUUUAGUCUCCUGGGUCAUAUUUAGAAAAUUCUUCGCUUCCCCUAAACGCUAAAAGUUUCCUUAAGUUCUCUGGAGUCCCUUCACCGUUUCCUCUUCAUGCUGAAAUCUUUAAUCUGUCGGAACAGACCCCGGGGUCAAGGGCGAGGAGUGACUCGCACCACCGACGCGAAUCGCCACCUUCACAGUGUACAAAAUAUGUGUAGGAGCCUCUUCAUCUUUCCAUGAAAGUGUUUUUCACCCACACUCCUAGCGCCUUUGUGGUGUGGCGCGCCGGGAGGCCCGCCGGGGAGUCCAGAUCCGGGAGGCGGGAGCGGCCGCCGGCGGGCCGGUCCUCCGCCCGACCAGUCACGCAGCGACCCGGGUGCCCCCAGACACAUGUGGGGCGCUCUGCGGCCGCCCCGAAUCUCCUGCGCAUUCCAAGCCACGCAGCACCAUUUCUGCCUCAGAACCAAGACCCCCGCGGUCCUCUAGGUCCGGGGCCACCUUCUGCCCCUACUCCGCCCCCCGUGUCCC
rnacentral:lncRNA from 1 species